UAGAAAGUUGGUGCAAAGUUUGAGUCUCUGCUUGUCAAAGUGGACUAAAAACCUCGUCAGGAUUCUAUGAGCUGCUAUGAAACAAUAGGAAAACGUCCUCUCCAGGUGCUCGUCCUCCGCCUCGGCCCUGUGGACCACAAACAUCAAAACGUCACGAGUCCCGAAGGAGCUGUGUGUGUGUGGGUCCCGGACCAGCGCGUCCCGUUUGUUGACCAGUAUGACCAGUUCGUCCAGCAGCAGCUGCUCUCGUCUCUUCUGGGCUUCGGUUUUCUGCCAGUCUGCAAAAAUCAGAGGAAGCUUCAGACUUUUGACACCUGAAGGAAGAAAACGUUGCGUCACUCUGAGUGGAAAAAAACGUCAUCUCUACAAAACCGACGUCUUUAAAAGAGAGAUUCCCAACUUCAGGAGUUUGAACGGUGAACCCGCGGGUCAAAGGUCGUCCUGUUGGACCGAGCUGAGGAUCAGUCGAGACACACUCCGUUCUGAGCAAACGUCCUUGAGGCGUAUUGUCACAGCGAUGUGCAGCUUUUACGCGCAUGGAGAUACAAGGACUCACGCUCCCACAGGACCAUGCUGCCACCGUGAAGGCCCAGGUAUUGAUCAGAGAACUGAAAAUGUUUGAUCAGAAGGAAAUCCUCGUGUUUCAGCCUGAAUGAAGACAUUAUCAAGUCAUGUAGUGAUGAUUUGGGUGAAAAUUGAAAAUAAUUAAUUUCCUGAUCAGUUCCUUUAAAUAAACAAGCAGGUGAGCCCCCCCCCCCUCCCAACCCCCUGACUCUAGCCUCAGUUCUCUAGGGACUUUCCAGGAAGGGGCCCCACGGGGCCCAGGUGGGACCCUGAUCCAAAUCCCCUCAGCCUCCCGCAGGAGGGGGGGCUGCCUACAGGGGAGCACCCACUUCCCCCUGGGGCUCAAAUAUCCGCCUCGGCUCUAUGUUCAGCCGCCACCGGGGGCAGCGUUACGCCCUCCCUCCGCCCCCCUCCCAAAAAAACACGAACAUCACCACAACGUUUCUGUGCGAUUUUAACAAAUCCUCCGCACGUUUCUCCAACACAUCCUGAUCCGAAGUCGCCUCGGCUGAAGAGCCCCAACGUCAGAGUGUGCAGAUUUAUUUGGCUGCUUUGCAGCUUAAGGAGAGCAGGAUAUCUUCAGCUUCUCUGCAGCCCUACACACACACACACACACACACACCCACACACAUAUCCCAGAGAGAAUCCAAACACAGCACCGCACUGCUUCUGUAGGCUAACUUCUCUCUAUCAAUAUUGAUCCCAGAGGAAUAGGAAUGUUGUGAAUUGUCAGUCCUAAAAUACGUGAGCUUUAUUAAAAAUAAAUAUCCACC